UAUAUAAAAAAGACUUAAUAAAGCCUUCAAAUUUAUUCAAUAAAAUCUAAUUGCAACUUAGAACUUAGAAGUUACAAUUUACAAAUAUUAGUGGAGUAACUAAUCUACGCAGCCACCUUCUAGGAAGGGUUCUGUUUCAAUUAGUUCUCGGAUGUAAUCUAAUAUUUGAAUUCUCCUUUAAAAUUCAAAUCUAAUUGUCGCAUCAUAUCGACUGUAACAUCCUCCGGUGUUGGCAAACUUUCUAGAAAC
rnacentral:lncRNA from 1 species